rnacentral:lncRNA from 1 species
CAAGAAUUUAGCCUCAAAGAGAUUACAUGAUUUGUCUAAAAUGUGCAGUUCAUUGCUGAUGAAGGACACAUUUCUCCUGCUCCCAAUCAGUUCAGCCUCCCUUUCACAACAUCCAGACAAGAAAAGACUGUAAAGAUCUGCAGUGUCUUCAGUGGGAAGGAGGCAAGGUUGCUCUUCAUUUGUGGCCUCUCUCUCUCAAACAACUUUUUUUGAACAUGAAGUUUGACCACCAAGACUCCUCUGCCAUGUACAGCUGUAUGCAGUCUUUCCUGGAACCUGUAACAGAAAGCUCAAGAGGGAAGAUUCCCUAACUACCCCGAGAAAGGAGUUGCAUGACUGUUCUGAAGAACUGAGACUACACAGUAGUGAAAAAAUCGAGUGUGUUGAGAUUAUUUUUGAAACAACUUUUCACUAUAGAACCCAUGGAACAAAGUUGAAAAACUAUCCAGAUUUCAUCUUCAGAAUCCUCCUGCUUCCUCUGAAUGUGUCUUCUUACACAUAA